rnacentral:tRNA from 1 species
GCCGAGGUAGUCUAGCGGUAAGGCGCAAGCCUGGAAAGCUUGUGGGGCUUGAUGCCCCUCGAGGGUUCAAAUCCCUCCCUCGGCG